UACGUAGGGUGCGAGCGUUGUCCGGAAUUAUUGGGCGUAAAGAGCUCGUAGGCGGUCUGUCGCGUCUGCUGUGAAAACCCCGAGGCUCAACCUCGGGCCUGCAGUGGGUACGGGCAGACUAGAGUGCGGUAGGGGAGAUUGGAAUUCCUGGUGUAGCGGUGGAAUGCGCAGAUAUCAGGAGGAACACCAAUGGCGAAGGCAGCCACCUCUGGGGACGUGACUGACGCUGAGACGCGAAAGCGUGGGAGC
rnacentral:rRNA from 1 species